UCAAAUGUUCCUACUGAGGAGAAGAUUCCAUAGAUAGCACUUUUCACUUGUUCUUUAUUUUAUUUUAUUUUUUUCCAAGGAGAUGGCCAUACACAGAGAGAACCAUACUUUUAAUUCACAGAAGAACAUUGCCAUCUAGAUGAAGAUUACAUUCUGAAGGCUCAGCAUGACGUUUUCACAUCAGAGGACUAAAAGCUCCACCCUCAGCAUGCUUGAAGAACUCCCUUUAAGUUUCCUGUAAGGCCAUUCCAGUGGUAAUGAAUUCCUUCAGCCUAUUUUGUUCUGGAAACUCUUCAUCUCUCCCUCAAUCCUGAAGAACAACUUUUCCGGGAUCUGGAAAUAACUGGGAAAGAAAAGCCUUGUUGAAAGGAGACACCUCCAGAUUUGUUUUCCUCUUGCACCCAAUGAAAGGAAUAAGUAAAGCAGCUGGAUGAGUAGAC